GAAUCAUCUCAUUGAACAAAGGGUUGUGAACCUGCCUGGGGACGAGGCCUAGUCUUGAAGAAACUGGACUUAGCUUCACAGGCCUGAUAGCUCUGGCCCAGGGUGGUAUGCAAA
ensembl:misc_RNA